rnacentral:rRNA from 1 species
AUUGAACGCUAGCGGGAUGCCUUACACAUGCAAGUCGAACGGAGUGGCGAACGGGUGAGUAAUGUAUCGGAACGUGCCCAGCAGCGGGGGCUAACUACGCGAAAGCGAAGCUAAUCUCGUAUCCGAUUGGAGCGGCCGAUAUGGGAUUAGCUAGGUGGUGGGGUAACGGCUCACCAAGGCGACGAACCGUAGCUGGUUUGAGAGGACGACCAGCCACACUGGGACUGAGACACGGCCCAGACUCCUACGGGAGGCAGCAGUGGGGAAUUUUGGACAAUGGGGGAAACCCUGAUCCAGCCAUCCCGCGUGUGCGAUGAAGGCCUUCGGGUUGUAAAGCACUUUUGGCAGGGAAGCGGUACCUGCAGAAUAAGCACCGGCUAACUACGUGCCAGCAGCCGCGGUAAUUC